rnacentral:rRNA from 1 species
CAAUAGCGUAUAUUUAAGUUGCUGCAGAUAAAAAGCUCGUAGUUGGAUUUCGGGUGGGAAUGGCCGGUCCGCCGUUUCGGUGUGCACUUGCUACGCCCACCUUGCUGCCGGGGACGUGCUCUUGAGUUCACGCUCGGGACACGGAGUCGGCGAGGUUACUUUGAGUAAAUUAGAGUGUUCAAAGCAGACAUCGCCGUUGAAUACAUUAGCAUGGAAUAAUAAGAUAAGACUUUGGUGGUCUAUUUUGUUGGUUUGCACGCCAAAGUAAUGAUUAAUAGGGAUAGUUGGGGGUAUUCGUAUUCUAUUGCUAGAGGCGAAAUUCUUAAAUUUAUGGAAGACGAACUACUGCGAAAGCAUUUACCAAGGAUGUUUUCAUUAA